rnacentral:rRNA from 1 species
UACAGAGGGUGCAAGCGUUGUUCGGAAUCAUUGGGCGUAAAGCGUACGUAGGCGGCUCCUUAAGUCAGGUGUGAAAUCCCAGGGCUCAACCUUGGACGUGCAUUUGAAACUGUGGAGCUUGAAUCUCGGAGAGGGUGGUGGAAUUCCCAGUGUAGAGGUGAAAUUCGUAGAUAUUGGGAGGAACACCGGUGGCGAAGGCGACCACCUGGACGAAGAUUGACGCUGAGGUACGAAAGCGUGGGGAUCAAACAGG